rnacentral:lncRNA from 1 species
CAGAGAUUAUGGUAAACAAGACAGCUGUCAUCCUGGGUCUCAUGGAGCUCUCAACCAAGUUAAAGGGGACAAACAGAUAAAUACCUAUUCUAGUAGAUGAUGAAUGUACGUGUGAUGAGUGCCAUGAAGUCAAACCUGGCACUAUGAGCACAAAUAGCUGGGAAUCUCACCUAGUUAAGGGUUAGGGGAAGCUUCCCUGAAGUCAUCUUGUUUACAUGGGGUUGGUCUAGAAUGUGGAGUGAAACUUGGGGUGCAGAGUGGUCCAGGACACGCUGUGUGAGGUCCUAAAGAAAGAAGUUCCCUGGGACAUGCAUGGACCUGAGAGAAAGCCGACAUAGCUAGACCAUGGAGAGCAAGGGAUAGAAGGGCCCAAGAUAAGCAUGGGUGAGAACUGUAGAGCAGAGGCUAAUCUUUGAGGUUAGUCCCACAGCUAUUUAGAGGCAAGGUGGGGACUAUAAUUGUGUCUCCUUUCUGCGAAGGCUUUAAUUUCUAUUUCACUUUUCUUCCCUGAUUCUUCUCCCACUCCCUAUCCAAACCUAAUUUCCUUGAUUUUCCAGAACCACAGCUCCUCCUUCUCUAUGUCAUUGGUCCUGCUGUGCUUUCCAUCUGGUUUGCCUAUAUCUGUAUGUCCAUAAGUCAGAGAUUCUUCUGACCCUUUAAGCCAAGGAUUGUAAACACAGACUUAUCAGCAGGUGAAGUCUAAUAGCCUAAUAUAUUAUUAAGUGGUGGGGAGUUGGCAAACUGGAGCAGGCACGCCCUCAUCAUGGGUAGGCCCAGUGCUGUACAAUAGGACUUUUUACAAUGAUGGUAAUAUUCUAUGUCUGCACUGUCCAAUAUGGUAGCCAUUAAUCAUAUGUGGCUAGGAUGACUGAAGACUUUAAUUUUUUAAUUUAUUAAAUUUUAGUUAAACUUAAAUAAUAGAUGUGGUUAGUGGGCUAUCAAAUUGGACAGUGCAGCUCUAGCCACUUGUUUCCAUUCUGGAGUAAGGGCCCAAUAUUGCCAGAUUACUCCAAUUCUUAAAGAGAAGCCAGAUCUCUGGAUUCUUAUUUGAAAUUUUCUGGCUUUUAAAUGUUGGUGAUAAAUUCAAAUUUUAAAGAUAUACUGUGGGUGACUCCUACCUCUGGGAAGAUGGAAUAAAUAUACUUUUCUUUAUUACUCCUGCAAGGCACAACUGAAAAUAUGGACACUAUACAUAACACAAGCAUAAGAAGGUUCUGAAAAGUGGAAGAAGAUAGAUUAGCUAGGGAUCUUGGGACCCAAAGAGAGACACAGUGGUGAGUUUCCUGGUUUUCUUUAUAUGUCAUAUGUCCCAGGCUUAGAAUUAAAGAAUUUAGCAAUACAAAAACACCAGUGGGUACAAAUAAAGCCCCAACAAAAGCCUGCUUUCUCUGGUUAAUACACUGGAAAAAAGACAACCUAACAAGAAGAAAUAUUUUUAGAUAAUAACCAAUCUACACUUCAGCUCAGCACCAUAAUAACCAAUCUACACUGCGCCCACACAUGCCAACACAGUCAAGUGACGAGCCUUGACUAUCACCGCUGAGGCAGUAAUGAGGCAUCCAAUAUCCCUGCUGAGGUGGUAUCAGAUAAAGCCAAGUGGAGGACUGGAACAUCCAUCCCUGUGAUCUGGUGACCAUCUUUCCUUCUGCAACCAUAGUAUCAGUGGUGACUGCUUGGGGACCAUGGGAGCUAGAUUUUUCCAGUCAUACUUGGCAAUAAUGAGACUUCCCUUCCUUCCCUGCUGCAGUAGUGCCAGAGGAAUUUUAGUGGAGAUUCAAGACUUUCAUCAUCACCCAGCAGUACUGAGGCCAUACCACUAUGGUGUUAGUGGAGACCAUCUGGGAAAUUUGAGCUCCUGCCACUGCGCAGCAGUCCCAAGAACUCGCCCAUCAUGAGCAUCACUUUGGUAGUCAACCAGGGCUAAGUGGGAAACCUGGCCUUUUACCUCCAUCUGACAGUAACAAACAGGUACCAUCCCCUUUCCUGCUGGAGUGGUGUCAGGGAAAGCCAGUUAAAACAGAAGGUUUAAAGAAGAUCCAGAUUCUCAUAACUUAAUGCAAAAAGUUGAUACACUUGUCCAAAUAGGUGACAGUGUCCAGGUUUCAAUACCAAAUCACUUCUCAUACUAAGAGCCAGGAAGAUCUCAAAUUGAGUGAAAAAUUUUGAAAAGAUCCAGAGCAUGAUACCUUACUUCUAGGGGAAAACAAAUGAAAUGUUAGCAAAUUUUUUGUCUUAAACCAUAGAGACCAGAAGAAAGUGGUAUAGUAUCUUUUCCCCAAAUGCCAAAAGAAAAGAACUAUCAACCUAGAAUCCUAUACCCCGUGAAAAUAUCUUUCAGGACUGAAGGGAAAAUCAAGGUAUUCUUUUUUUUUUUUUUUUUUUUUUUUGUCUUUUGUCUUUUGUUGUUGUUGUUGCUAUUUCUUGGGCCGCUCCCGCGGCAUAUGGAGGUUCCCAGGCUAGGGGUCAAAUCGGAGCUGUAGCCACCGGCCUACGCCAGAGCCACAGCAACGCGGGAUCCGAGCCGUGUCUGCAACCUACACCACAGCUCACAGCAACGCCGGAUCGUUAACCCACUGAGCAAGGGCAGGGACCGAACCCGCAACCUCAUGGUUCCUAGUCGGAUUCGUUAACCACUGCGCCACGACGGGAACUCCUUUUUUUUUUUUUUUUUGUCUUUUGUCUUUUGUUGUUGUUGUUGCUAUUUCUAAGGUAUUCUUAAAUGAAGAAAAUUUAAGAGAAUUUGUUGCCAGUGAAUUGAGGAGAAAAUUACAAGUGGCACAAGUGCUCUGAGAGUGUAUUCAGAGCAAAAAUACCCAGGACUGCUUUAAGCAACCAAGACUGCUUCCCUUAGAAAUGAUACUAAAAAGAAGUAAAUGAAAAAUAAAUUUAUCUUGAUGAGGAGCAAGGAAAAUUCUAGAAAUCUGAAACGCAGCUUUUGAGAAAAAACUGUAUGAAGUAAGAUUAGACCAUGUUAAAUAAUGGUCCAAUUGGCUAGGUUCUAAUACUGAGUAGGAAGAAGUAUUUACUGGUUAUCUUCAAGGAUGUCUUGAGAUAUUUUAUAUUUUAUGAUACAUGAGAGUAAUCAUGAAAAAUUUUCCCUGGUAUAAGUGCAAUUUUUUUCUAGACCACCUAAAAAGCAACAAUUUUCUUUUAGUGAAGUACCCAAAGCCUAAGAUAGGCACAGAAUGAUGCAAUGAUUUGCCUCAGCUACCACUGACAGCAGCAGAGUGAAGACUAGAACACAUCUUCUCAUCCUUUAUUCACUGCGCUUUUCAUUACCAAUAGAGUCAAUGUGUUUCAGCUCCUUGGACAAGCUUAACAUGCAGCAAGAUGGGUUUAAAUUAGAUGAGAAGAGAAUGAAUCUGGCUGGACAACUUGUCUAAAUAUUUAAGAUUGGGGUUCUAGGCUUUCAGAACUGUAUGCAAUAUUUUACUUGGAGGCAGGAAGAGGAAUUGGUCUUUGAAAGAAAGAAUCUUUAAUUUUGGAUGUGAUUGCAAGACCAUUUUUAGAGACAGAGUGUUGGGGUAAGUUGUGCUAAAAUCUUCACUUUACCUCUCUGAGUGCAUCGUUCUCUGACUCUCGAGAGUAAUCUGCUUGGACUAAAUCUAAGAACAUCCUUGUCCUCUGUUCAAUGGGGAGCCUUGGUGGGAAAUGUUGAAGGAGGGAGAAAAGCAAAGUCAAGGUUUCUGGUCCUGUGUUUCUCUUCCUCCAGUUUCACCAUAGACUGACUACCAGCUUCUACUGAAAACCAUAGCUCCUGUUAGGUGGUCCUCUCUGCAUGGUGGUUCUUUGCCUCUGGGAUCAAUGAAUGGACCUCAUCCAAACCCCUGAAGGCCUGGGUGUGGAAAAUUUCCCUGCUACUACUUGGCUCUGGGGUACUGCACUAUUUUUUGUGAUUUCUCUACGCCUUGGUCACAAUUGUGUAAAUAAUUUCUUUAUGAAACUAUCUCCAUCUUAUCAUGGCAUGUGUGGGUGUGCCAUGUAUUUUCCCUCAGUACUCUGACUGGUACACUUGUCCAAAUAGGUGACAGUGUCCAGUGACCAUGUUGGAAAGGCUAGAACUGUUAGCAAGGGUAUCACCAACUGCAAAGUAACUGCAAAGUAAGUUUAGUACUCUCCCCCUUGUGAAGUUGAGAACUUUUGGGGAAGACAUAGCAAGAAGAUGAGUAUAAUGUUCUAAAACAAAUAUUAGCCAAAUUUCUCCAUUAG